GUGAGGAAUAUUGGUCAAUGGACGAGAGUCUGAACCAGCCAAGUCGCGUGAAGGAAGACGGUUCUAUGAAUUGUAAACUUCUUUUGUGCAGGAAUAAAGUGGGUUACGUGUAACCUUUUGUAUGUACUGUACGAAUAAGGAUCGGCUAACUCCGUGCCAGCAGCCGCGGUAAUACGGAGGAUCCGAGCGUUAUCCGGAUUUAUUGGGUUUAAAGGGUGCGUAGGUGGAUUGAUAAGUCAGCGGUGAAAGUUUGCAGCUUAACUGUAAAAUUGCCGUUGAAACUGUCGAUCUUGAGUGCAAAUGAGGUAAGCGGAAUGUGUUGUGUAGCGGUGAAAUGCUUAGAUAUAACACAGAACACCGAUUGCGAAGGCAGCUUACUGGGAUGCAACUGACGCUCAUGCACGAAAGCGUGGGGAUCAAACAGGAUUAGAUACCCCAGUAGUCC
rnacentral:rRNA from 1 species